rnacentral:misc_RNA from 1 species
GAUGAAGAAACGCAGCGAAAUGCGAUAAGUAAUGUGAAUUGCAGAAUUCCGUGAAUCAUCGAAUCUUUGAACGCAUAUUGCGCCCUCUGGUAUUCCGGGGGGCAUGCCUGUCCGAGCGUCAUUACAACCUUCAAGCACGGCUUGGCUGUUGAGCGGUCUGUUUUCACGAACAGGGCUCGAAAUGCAGUGGCGACGGCGAGAUUGGUGCCCGAGCGUAUGGGGCUCUGUCACACGCUCUGGUGGCUCCGCUUGCAGUCUGCCAUAGACCAAAUCAAUCUGAUUGACCUCGGAUCAGGUAGGAACACCCGCUGAACUUAAGCAUAUCAAUAAGCGGAGGA